rnacentral:rRNA from 1 species
UACGAAGGGGGCUAGCGUUGCUCGGAAUCACUGGGCGUAAAGCGCACGUAGGCGGGUCUUUAAGUCAGGGGUGAAAUCCUGGAGCUCAACUCCAGAACUGCCUUGAUACUGAAGAUCUUGAGUUCGGGAGAGGUGAGUGGAACUGCGAGUGUAGAGGUGAAAUUCGUAGAUAUUCGCAAGAACACCAGUGGCGAAGGCGGCUCACUGGCCCGAUACUGACGCUGAGGCACGAAAGCGUGGGGAGCAAACAGG